UACGUAGGGGGCGAGCGUUGUCCGGACUUAUUGGGCGUAAAGAGCUCGUAGGCGGUUUGGCAAGUCGGGUGUGAAAACUCCGGGCUCAACUCGGAGACGCCACUCGAUACUGCCAUGACUUGAGUCCGGUAGGGGAGUGCGGAAUUCCUGGUGUAGCGGUGAAAUGCGCAGAUAUCAGGAGGAACACCGGUGGCGAAGGCGGCACUCUGGGCCGGUACUGACGCUGAGGAGCGAAAGCGUGGGGAGCGAACAGG
rnacentral:rRNA from 1 species